UACGGGGGGAGCAAGCGUUGUUCGGAUUUACUGGGCGUAAAGGGCGCGUAGGCGGCGCGACAAGUCACUUGUGAAAUCUCUGGGCUCAACCCAGAACGGUCAAGUGAUACUGUCGUGCUAGAGUGCGGAAGGGGCAACUGGAAUUCUUGGUGUAGCGGUGAAAUGCGUAGAUAUCAAGAGGAACACCUGCGGCGAAGGCAGCCUUCUGGGCCAACACUGACGCUCGAUGACACGAAAGCGUUGGGGAGCAAACAGG
rnacentral:rRNA from 1 species